AAGUCGAACGGCAGCACGGGAGCAAUCCUGGUGGCGAGUGGCGAACGGCUGUGUAAUAUAUCGGAACGUGCCCAGUCGUGGGGGAUAACGCAGUGAAAGCUGUGCUAAUACCGCAUACGAUCUCUGGAUGAAAGCGGGGGACUCGUAAGAGCCUCGCGCGAUUGGAGCGGCCGAUAUCAGAUUAGCUAGUUGGUGGGGUAAAGGCCCACCAAGGCGACGAUCUGUAGCUGGUCUGAGAGGACGACCAGCCACACUGGAACUGAGACACGGUCCAGACUCCUACGGGAGGCAGCAGUGGGGAAUUUUGGACAAUGGGCGCAAGCCUGAUCCAGCAAUGCCGCGUGCAGGAUGAAGGCCUUCGGGUUGUAAACUGCUUUUGUACGGAACGAAAAGGUCUGCCUUAAUACGGUGGGCCCAUGACGGUACCGUAAGAAUAAGCACCGGCUAACUAUGUGCCAGCAGCCGCGGUAAUACGUAGGGUGCGAGCGUUAAUCGGAAUUACUGGGCGUAAAGCGUGCGCAGGCGGUUAUAUAAGACAGAUGUGAAAUCCCCCGGGCUCAACCUGGGACCUGCAUUUGUGACUGUAUAGCUAGAGUACGGUAGAGGGGGAUGGAAUUCCGCGUGUAG
rnacentral:rRNA from 1 species